UAGUCCACGCCGUAAACGAUGAUUACUCGUUGUUGGCGAUACAUUGUCAGCGACCGAGCGAAAGCAUUAAGUAAUCCACCUGGGGAGUACGUUGGCAACAAUGAAACUCAAAGGAAUUGACGGGGGCCCGCACAAGCGGAGGAACAUGUGGUUUAAUUCGAUGAUACGCGAGGAACCUUACCUGGACUUAAAUGUAGGCUGCAUGGGGCAGAGAUGCCCCUUUCUUCGGACUGCCUACAAGGUGCUGCAUGGUUGUCGUCAGCUCGUGCCGUGAGGUGUCGGGUUAAGUCCCAUAACGAGCGCAACCCCUAUCGUUAGUUACCAGCACGUAGUGGUGGGGACUCUAACGAGACUGCCGGUGUAAACCGCGAGGAAGGUGGGGAUGACGUCAAAUCAGCACGGCCCUUACGUCCAGGGCUACACACGUGUUACAAUGGCCGGUACAAAGGGCAGCUACAUGGCAACAUGGUGCUAAUCCCUAAACCCGGUCUCAGUUCGGAUCGGAGUCUGCAACUCGACUCCG
rnacentral:rRNA from 1 species